AGGGGACAACAGUUGGAAACGACUGCUAAUACCGCAUACGAUCUAAUCUCGGCAUCGAGGAUGGAUGAAAGGUGGCCUCUAUUUAUAAGCUAUCACUGAAGGAGGGGAUUGCGUCUGAUUAGCUAGUUGGAGGGGUAACGGCCCACCAAGGCGAUGAUCAGUAGCCGGUCUGAGAGGAUGAACGGCCACAUUGGGACUGAGACACGGCCCAG
rnacentral:rRNA from 1 species